rnacentral:rRNA from 1 species
ACGCUGGCGGCGUGCCUAAUACAUGCAAGUAGAACGCUGAAGAGGGGAGCUUGCUCUUCUUGGAUGAGUUGCGAACGGGUGAGUAACGCGUAGGUAACCUGCCUUGUAGCGGGGGAUAACUAUUGGAAACGAUAGCUAAUACCGCAUAACAAUGGAUGACACAUGUCAUUUAUUUGAAAGGGGCAAUUGCUCCACUACAAGAUGGACCUGCGUUGUAUUAGCUAGUAGGUGAGGUAACGGCUCACCUAGGCGACGAUACAUAGCCGACCUGAGAGGGUGAUCGGCCACACUGGGACUGAGACACGGCCCAGACUCCUACGGGAGGCAGCAGUAGGGAAUCUUCGGCAAUGGGGGCAACCCUGACCGAGCAACGCCGCGUGAGUGAAGAAGGUUUUCGGAUCGUAAAACUCUGUUGUAAGUCAAGAACGAGUGUGAGAGUGGAAAGUUCACACUGUGACGGUAGCUUACCAGAAAGGGACGGCUAACUACGUGCCAGCAGCCGCGGUAAUACGUAGGUCCCGAGCGUUGUCCGGAUUUAUUGGGCGUAGAGCGAGCGCAGGCGGUUUGAUAAGUCUGAAGUUAAAGGCUGUGGCUCAACCAUAGCUCGCUUUGGAAACUGUCAAACUUGAGUGCAGAAGGGGAGAGUGGAAUUCCAUGUGUAGCGGUGAAAUGCGUAGAUAUAUGGAGGAACACCGGUGGCGAAAGCGGCUCUCUGGUCUGUAACUGACGCUGAGGCUCGAAAGCGUGGGGAGCGAACAGGAUUAGAUACCCUGGUAGUCCACGCCGUAAACGAUGAGUGCUAGGUGUUGGAUCCUUUCCGGGAUUCAGUGCCGCAGCUAACGCAUUAAGCACUCCGCCUGGGGAGUACGACCGCAAGGUUGAAACUCAAAGGAAUUGACGGGGGCCCGCACAAGCGGUGGAGCAUGUGGUUUAAUUCGAAGCAACGCGAAGAACCUUACCAGGUCUUGACAUCCCGAUGCUAUUUCUAGAGAUAGAAAGUUACUUCGGUACAUCGGUGACAGGUGGUGCAUGGUUGUCGUCAGCUCGUGUCGUGAGAUGUUGGGUUAAGUCCCGCAACGAGCGCAACCCCUAUUGUUAGUUGCCAUCAUUCAGUUGGGCACUCUAGCGAGACUGCCGGUAAUAAACCGGAGGAAGGUGGGGAUGACGUCAAAUCAUCAUGCCCCUUAUGACCUGGGCUACACACGUGCUACAAUGGUUGGUACAACGAGUUGCGAGUCGGUGACGGCAAGCUAAUCUCUUAAAGCCAAUCUCAGUUCGGAUUGUAGGCUGCAACUCGCCUACAUGAAGUCGGAAUCGCUAGUAAUCGCGGAUCAGCACGCCGCGGUGAAUACGUUCCCGGGCCUUGUACACACCGCCCGUCACACCACGAGAGUUUGUAACACCCGAAGUCGGUGAGGUAACCUUUUGGAGCCAGCCGCCUAAGGUGGGAUAGAUGAUUGGGGU